rnacentral:rRNA from 1 species
AUUGAACGCUGGCGGCAUGCUUUACACAUGCAAGUCGAACGGUAACAGGCCGCAAGGUGCUGACGAGUGGCGAACGGGUGAGUAAUUCAUCGGAACGUGCCCAGUCGUGGGGGAUAACUACUCGAAAGAGUAGCUAAUACCGCAUACGAUCUAUGGAUGAAAGCUGGGGACCGUAAGGCCUCGCGCGAUUGGAGCGGCCGAUGUCAGAUUAGGUAGUUGGUGGGGUAAAGGCUCACCAAGCCAACGAUCUGUAGCUGGUCUGAGAGGACGACCAGCCACACUGGGACUGAGACACGGCCCAGACUCCUACGGGAGGCAGCAGUGGGGAAUUUUGGGCAAUGGGCGCAAGCCUGAUCCAGCAAUGCCGCGUGCAGGAAGAAGGCCUUCGGGUUGUAAACUGCUUUUGUACGGAACGAAACGGCUCUGGUUAAUACCCGGGGCUAAUGACGGUACCGUAAGAAUAAGCACCGGCUAACUACGUG